UGCCGAACCAUUUUUAUCUUUUUUUUUCCUCUUCCCCUCCCCCCGCCACUAUCCGAAGGUUUCAUACGACCCACGACGUGCCACUACCUGUACCUACAACACCGUAACCUCGCGGUAAAUAACAUUCUCCACCCGAUGGGUAUAUUAUAAAUUAUAAUAACGUUCGGGUGUUUUCACGUUCAAAACGUCAAUCGCGCGAAAAUCGAUUAUCGACGAUAUUAUUAUUAUUGUUGUUGUCGCCGGUAUAAAUUCCCGACAUGGGAGUUGAGAACCUUCCGCCGUCGUCGUUGUACCGCGAGAUUGCCGACCCGGAAACCGACGACAAUCGACAGUAAUUCUAAUUCGUUCGUACUCGUUGCCGUUGAUUACGACAACAACAACAACAACAACAACAACAACAUCAGUAUCGUAAACCACUUAUUC